CGGUCGGUAGAUGGUGACAGCAACCGAAACAAAUGCCAGCAAAAAGCAAACAAAUGACAAAGGUGAGACACGCUGGAAAAGCUUGAUACGAAUGUGUAGGCGUAGUUUUGGAAUUCAGAGGUGCUAGCCGGCUGUUUGGAUUGCGCCAUCUAGGCAAUGUGGAUAUUCUGCCAUGUACAUGAUAAACCUAGGAUUCUUCGUCAACAUGCAAGAUGUUACCCCCUGCAAACUACUGUUGACAGAAAAGCUGAUACAUUGGGAUAAUGGUUAUGGCAAGUGUGUUGAAUAAAUCACCAUAGAUCAGUUGCCUUGCCUUCCCAAUUGCAACAAAGAUGAAUCAUGGAGUCAAAAACAUUAAAG